UACGUAGGGUGCGAGCGUUGUCCGGAAUUACUGGGCGUAAAGAGCUCGUAGGUGGUUUGUCGCGUUGUUCGUGAAAACUCACAGCUCAACUGUGGGCGUGCGGGCGAUACGGGCAGACUGGAGUACUGCAGGGGAGACUGGAAUUCCUGGUGUAGCGGUGGGAAUGCGCAGAUAUCAGGAGGAACACCGGUGGCGAAGGCGGGGUCUCUGGGCAGUAACUGACGCUGAGGAGCGAAAAGCGUGGGGGAGCGAACAGG
rnacentral:rRNA from 1 species